AACUUUGCUGCUAAUAGAUAUGAAUUCAACAACGGUGAGAAACAUAUUCAAAACCAGAAUGUACUGUAACAGAAAACAAGAGGGGCCAUCGUUCAGUUUUUAUUCAAAGAGAAAGGUAAAGGCAUUGUAUGUUCUGAAUCUCUGAGCCCGUAGGUAAGUCUGUUGUAGAAAAAGUCUACUUGCUACCACUGCAAAACAGGAAUGCACCGGGGGUUCUCCAGAACAAGAACUUUAUUUUUAACCAGAUAAGUCUUUUUAACCAGACAGAGCCUUUUAUUUGUGCAAGCCCACCCUGUGUCACAUUCGUGCUUGGAAAUGCAUUAGGUGGGAGGAGGGGAGGGGGAGGACUGUCCAUCACCUCUGCAUGCCCCACUGGUAGGUCCACAAAGCUGCUUCCAUGGCUCACCACUGUUACUAAUUAAUUUCAUCAAACAGUGAGAUCUUGGCAUCAACAUGCAUUAUUGACAGAGCAGGUGGGGCAGGUUUGCAAAAUAAUUGCUCCUUAAAUGUAGCUAUGUUAAUGAGGAAAGAGGGAGAAAAAAAAAAAAAAAAAGGAAACGAGGGCAUUACCCUUCUGAUCUGUCUCCAUAAUUGCCAGCUGCUUAGAUUUAAAUGAGGUAUUUAUAAAUUUGUGCAAUGCUGCUUUUUGCAGCUUCUGCCUGAAAGAUUUAUGGGGAGGUUGUGCUGCUGCAGGGUCACCUCAGCUGAGGCUGCUCCUAUGUUAGUGGUAAGCAUAUUUUCCAAGUUUUGCUGAAAACCAGCUCUCAGGAAGCAGUUGCACAGGAGGUGUAAAAUUGCGCCCCUGCUGGAAGGAAUCUGUUGGUCAACAAACUUGGUUCAGGAUGAAACUCGAUGGCUGUGGGCCCACUAACAUCAUCCUUACACAGUGUGAAGAGUUCACCAAAAUAAAGCUGAAAGAAUGGAAUCCUCCUCCAUCCCCUCAGCUCAGAAGUGAUGGAUUCCUUCAGCUUUGUACACUCUCCGAUGAUAUUGAAGUGUCUGUGACUUCAUGGCCACCACAGAGCCAAGCUGAGGUGGCCUUGGAGGAAGACUGACUGUUACAGAGGUUGCCUGGAUGGGCUCUAUAGGUGGAACAACCUGAACAACAGAAACACAGAACAUUCUUAUAAGAUGAAAGCAUCCCUCUUAUAGAUCCAGGACCGGACAGGCUGUCUGCUCCGCACAGUAACAAAGACUUGAAACCGUAUUGGCGCGAUGCCUGAUACAACACUAAAUGCUUCCCUGUGGCUUUCUACUCCCAGGGAGAAAGAGCAAAGAAAUCAGCAGGGAGACCAGUGGAAGUCAUGGUUUGACAACAUCAAAGAGCAGCUUGGACCCUAUCCUUAUAAAGAGAAAAAGGUUGCCAGGAUCCCAUGAGUUGGCUGACUAAUAAGCGAAGUGCUGCCAAUGCUCCGAUUCAGAUUGGCUUGGGCUGACCCAGUGAGUGAUGGCCAUUGCCGAUGGAAGAAGUUAGCAGAAAAAGCAGGGAGAUAAAGAAAAAUAACCAAGCAAAUACAGGAAUUGUGAACUCAUGGAGCACAGGGGGAGUCGCCUCUUGAAUCAGAAACGUCUGUGUUAGUAGUAAGGUCAACAGUGACUUCUGAGAAGGCAUUUGCAGCAUUCGUUACCGCUUCCGUCCUCUGACAGAGACGCAUUGGUGUGUGGUGCUAUUUGUCUUGUCCACACUGAUCAGAAUAAUGGACAACGUGGCGGGGGGAAGGAGGAAAAUACAUCAUUUAAAAAACCAGGAUGGCCAGAUGUACAUGUACACUGGGAUUUCACAUAUUGCACGUGGGUCAGCCCCUUCCAGUUAUUAUAAAUGACCUUGUGCUCCUUUAUGAAGACCAGAUCCCCAGUGAGGUCUGAGUGACUGGAUUCGCUCGUUUGCGCAACAAAAAGCAGUUACAGCACGAGGCAGUCCAAGUCACACUGCUGCAGACAAGGGACAGGCAGCUGCCUUCGGGCAAGAAGAAGCUGUGUGACCAUUUACUGGCUGAAGGACUGCCCAGGGAGUGUGGAAAAUGUUUCCUAGUUCUCCUAAGGUGGAAAAAUCCAUAAAGUCAGCCUAAAUGAAUUGGAUGAAAGGCGCUAUAGUCUUGAAGAUCUGCUUAAAUGAGAUAUUCUGGGGAACGUGGUGAGCAGGGUGGCUCCCAGUUUGCUGUAAAAUCAUUUCUCCUUCCUCACUAUGCCCGCAUGCUCUGUCCCUGUAGCUCCUGAAUUUUAUCUCCCACUGAACGUCACUGCAAGACCUGGUUUUCCCCAGAGGGGUUUCCAGUGAAGCAUUGAAGCCAACAUCUGAGGAAGAGGAAUGAUUUUUGUGGAGGCAUUGUGGUCACAAACACACAUGCCUCUGCCACCUGGGUCUUGUCUUAGCUUGACCAUGGGGUGACCAAGAUGACAGGGACAGAGAUCUGCUCCCAGCCUCACUAUAUUUUAGAAAAGUCACUUCCCUGUAUUUCCCUAUCUCUGAUUUUUGCCUUAUCUGUUUAAACUGUCAGCUGCUCAGGGGGGUUUUGUAAAGCACCUAUUGCAAUAGGGCCCCGAUCUCUCCCGAGGCCUCUGAACACCAUGGUAAUAUAAAUAAUAAGAAAGCAUUUAUCAAAGCAUACAAAGGGAACUCUCUGUGCUUUGAUUUAAAGCAUGUAAAAUGAGUCUUGGAAAACAUUCCUCCAAAGGAGCAGAGGAUUAAUUAACACUUGUCCAGCCCGUUGCGACCACAGGCAGUGCUGGGAGUCCUCUGCACCGCUGACUUACCUCCAGAAAGAGCUUUCAUCGAGGCGGGACACGGACAGGCACCAGAAAUUACAGGACCUCUCCUUGCUUUAACUGGGUUUGCUUUUCCACACAAAGAAAAGAACACAAAAGACCCGAGGGAAACAGAAGGGACACAAAAUUAUGUCGUAUUUACAGAGGUUGGGAAGGAGUAGUUUAGACCCUUGAGGCUUAGAGUGCUUAUUGCUAAGCUUCGAUGCCUUGCUGCACAUUUGAUUAACAGCCCCCCUGGAAAAAAAGCAAUCCACGACCGCCCUCCUGGCCCGAGGUGCUGCCCGCAGAGCAUCCGGCUGCUCGGCCGCGGGUCCUGGGGGAGCUGCGCUGUGACGCCGAGCGGCAACUGUGGGGACGUGGGGAGACCUCGCAGCUGCAGAGAGCCCAGUUCCCAAACGCCGCCUGGUCAGAGUUCAUCAGUCUUCCUCGCUGAAAGACUCGAGAGUUGGAGUUUAUCAUCUCAGCUGGUUCAAAUUGCAGAGCACGAGAAGGGAGAAUGGUUUUCCAGCUUUUAAGCCAGGAUAAUUUGUUUGCUUUAUUAUUUUUUUUAUUGUAAAAAUGGUUUAAAUCCAUCAAGUCACUCUUCAGAGUUACAGAGUUGCAAUAAAUCCUAAUCUGUUUGGACUCA
rnacentral:lncRNA from 1 species